rnacentral:antisense_RNA from 1 species
CUUGAGCGUGGAGGGUAUGUGCUUCAGGUGACAUUUUAGGAGCGUGGCGUUUCCUGGAUGGCGGCCGCACACUUAGGAAGAACGGGCUUUGGGAGAGGACCGCUGGCCCGAGAGUGGAACCUUGCACGCACUGGGCGUUGAAGCAGUGCUUUCUGGAUUAAAUACGAAAUACUGAUGUCACAAGCUA